rnacentral:rRNA from 1 species
GACGAACGCUGGCGGCGUGCUUAACACAUGCAAGUCGAACGGAAAGGCCCUGCUUUUGUGGGGUGCUCGAGUGGCGAACGGGUGAGUAACACGUGAGUAACCUGCCCUUGACUUUGGGAUAACUUCAGGCAACUGGGGCUAAUACCGGAUAGGAGCUCCUGCUGCAUGGUGGGGGUUGGAACGUUUCGGCGGUUGGGGAUGGACUCGCGGCUUAUCAGCUUGUUGGUGGGGUAGUGGCUUACCAAGGCUUUGACGGGUAGCCGGCCUGAGAGGGUGACCGGCGACAUUGGGACUGAGAGACGGCCCAGACUCCUACGGUAGGCAGCAGUGGGGAGUAUUGCACAGUGGGCGGAAGCCUGAUGCAGCAACGCCGCGUGCGGGAUGACGGCCUUCGGGUGGUAAACCGCUUUCGCCUGUGACGAAGCGUGAGUGACGGUAAUGGGUAAAGAAGCACCGGCUAACUACGUG